rnacentral:rRNA from 1 species
GAUCCUGGCUCAGGACGAACGCUGGCGGCGUGCCUAAUACAUGCAAGUCGAGCGCAGGAAACUAACUGAUCCCUUCGGGGUGACGUUAGUGGAAUGAGCGGCGGACGGGUGAGUAACACGUGGGCAACCUGCCUGUAAGACUGGGAUAACUCCGGGAAACCGGUGCUAAUACCGGAUAAUACUUUUACUCUCAUGAGUUUAAGUUGAAAGGUGGCUUUUAGCUAUCACUUACAGAUGGGCCCGCGGCGCAUUAGCUAGUUGGUGGGGUAACGGCCUACCAAGGCGACGAUGCGUAGCCGACCUGAGAGGGUGAUCGGCCACACUGGGACUGAGACACGGCCCAGACUCCUACGGGAGGCAGCAGUAGGGAAUCUUCCGCAAUGGACGAAAGUCUGACGGAGCAACGCCGCGUGAACGAUGAAGGCCUUCGGGUCGUAAAGUUCUGUUGUUAGGGAAGAACAAGUGCCGUUCGAAUAGGUCGGCACCUUGACGG